UGAUAAGCGCAGGUUUAAAAAGGAACUGAUAUUUACAGCCUCUGUCAUAAACUUCACCUCCAGCUGAUAUUGACUUCCUUCAGACAAACAGCCACGUCGACAGUCCAGAGCAGACAAGAUGAAGAUCGCUGUCAUGUUCACUCUCGUCCUGGUUCUGAUCCUGGGUAGAGUAGAAGCUAAAAAUCCUCAACCGUGUCAGAGAAACCCUGACAACAAUGCAUACAACAACUUUGUUAAAAAACACAUUCUUCGGGAGUCAUUUAACACUGGAUCAAAGAGGGAAUGGAUAAGGUACUUGAGAAAUAAUCGACUCUGCGGCAGACCCCGUCAGUCCUUCAUCAGGGAAGAGGAUCAGAUGCUUGUUGUACAGACCUGUAACGGUCAUGGCAAGCGUUUGAAGGAUAACUUAUGCACCAGUACCUCAAACAUGUUGGUGUAUGAUCUCAGAGUUAACACCGCCACUUGUAAAGUUACAAGUCUACAGCAAGGAAGCAGAUAUGUGGUUUUGGCCUGUGACAAAGUUGCCAACCGCUGUCGUCCUGUUCAUUAUGAAACAAGUGUUAACCAACCACCACCAAGCAGCGGUGUUACAUGCCGACCACAGCUCAGUGAAGCUUAGCUAAGUCAUUACUUUCUGCUUGCAAAAGAAAAACCCAUAAAACAUAUAUGAAUUGGUUUUGAAGUUUUGCCACAAGAAAUUUUUUGUUUCACAUCUUUCAAACUGGUCUAGUUACAUUCAGCCAAGUGACCAUAACGAAUCAUCAUGUACCAUUCUUGAUCGAUAAAAUCCUUCUGAUUAUGCUAAGGAUGGAUAAAUGGUGGAAGGAUUAUUCACUCAGUAGGAUUUUGUUUUACAAUUAAAGCUUUUUGGCAACACGGAUGGGCAAUGCCAACAUUUCCCCUGUCGAUAUGAUACUAUUAGUUUAUGGAACUUUUUCAUAGAUACAGAUAUUGAUAAAUACUUUUUGUCCCUUAAAGGAAAAUAAUGAUUGUACAGGGUGCAUUAAUAUCUGUAUUACAAGAGUGUAUGAAAUAUAAAUAAAACUCAGGAACAUCAGUGCUUGAAAGAAAUGCUUUUAAAACAGUAACAUUAUAAUUAUAUUAAACAAAAAUAAGAUAAAAAUAAAUCUUUUUAAAGUGAAAAAAAUAAUGACACUUUAAUAUGAGACAUUUAUAUAUAUAAAAAAAACUAAAUUUAAAAAGAUAUGUAAUAGUAAUAGAAUUAGUAUAAUAAAACAGAAUAUGCAAUAACCUGCCAUAAUCAUGUGACAUAGAAGGACUGCACUGUGCCUGGGCUUCGCACACAGUUUUAUUGUCUAAAACUCUCAGAAGUGAAAACAAAUAACAUAUUUUGUAUCAAGAGAGUUGUGUCUCAAUAUUCAAAACAGUGAACCCAAUAUUUUCACUGGCUCCAGAGUAUCAAUACGUCCAUCCCUACUUUGCAACCAUGUAAAAGAAAAAGGAAAAACCUGCUGUAAUUCUUGUAAACUUUUCCUUUUAGAUCUGCUUAAUUCUGCAUUAAAUCCAAACAAUUCAUUCCCCCAAAUUUAUGCAAAUUUAAAGUUUAAAGUGAAAUGUGUGAUUUAAAAUGUGAAAAAAAUGAAAAGAAAAAACAAAACAAACAUUUUUCAUCAUGUGACGAUCUUUGACCUCGCCUGCUCCUGACCUUGUGUUUUGUCUCCGCUCCGUUCAGUAUUUGGACCUGCUGCCAACGGAGCUGACAGCAGGUCCAGAUACUAAACGGGGCUGGCCCAGAGAAAAUGAGCCUGCCUGAUAAGCAGGUUCCACCCAAAUCCCUGCUGCAUAGUUAUUGAGCAAUCAAUUGAGUAAUAUAUCUAUCAUUUCAGCAGAUUAAAGUUAAAUCUUAUCUUAUUGGAAUGUAUCAUAGCCUCCUGACUACCAGAAAAAAAAAUUGUUUAAUCAAUAUUUUUUUUCCCCGACUGUUUGAAGGGUAAUGAGAAAACUCUGACAAUGAAACUCGUUCUUCUUAAUUGAAAAAUACAGAACAAAA